UACGUAGGGUGCAAGCGUUGUCCGGAAUUAUUGGGCGUAAGAGCUGUAGCGGUUUGUCGCGUCUGCUGUGAAAUUUCGGGGCUCAACCCCGAACUUGCAGUGGGUACGGGCAGACUAGAGUGUGGUAGGGGAGACUGGAAUUCCUGGUGUAGCGGUGAAAUGCGCAGAUAUCAGGAGGAACACCGGUGGCGAAGGCGGGUCUCUGGGCCGAUACUGACGCUGAGGAGCGAAAGCGUGGGGAGCGAACAGG
rnacentral:rRNA from 1 species